rnacentral:lncRNA from 1 species
AUGAGGUGGAUCUUUUGGAAAAAUGAAUUGUUGCAGACCCAGCUUACAGAGGAGCACACUGCAGAUGCUUCUGGCCGUCACCUCCUUCAAGAUUCAGCAGUGUUCUACACUACGGAGAUUUACUGGCAUCACCAUUUCUCCACUCGCCUGAGGUCUAGAAACUUAACCAUCUCCAAGCUGCUUACGGCUCCACUAGUUAUAACAUUUUGGGCUUAAAUCUUCUGCUAUGCACAUGGACAUCCACUUUGCAAAAGGAUGUUUCUCUCUACUUGAAAACACUCAAGAGGAAAAUGAAAAUGUAUUGACAUUGCCUUUUCCUGCUUAGUCAUCUAAGAUACUUCCUUUAUAAUUUCCUUUGUGUUUAAAGAAUUUCUUCUUAGCAUUCCUUUAGUGCAGGAGUCCGUAAACUCCCUGCCUUCUUAGGAACCAGGCCGCGCUGAAGGGGUGCGCAGGGCCAGGGCCGCAGGAAUCUUCGUGUGUACUUGCAGCCUGUAGCCUGAACUCCGCCCUUCUCAGAUCAGUAGGGCACUGGAUUCUCCAGACCACAAACCCCAAUGUGACCAGCAGAGUCCAAGGAUCUUGUUCCGCAUCUUGUGAAUCAUCCUGAGACCAUUCCUCAGCUGUCAGUGGAAAACUCAUCUUCUGUGAAGCUAGCCCUGGUGCCAAAAAGUGUUGGGGCCUGGUUGCUUUAUUGUAGGUUCACAGGAGAUAAAUUCCUAGGUGUUUUUCCUUGUUGUUAUUAUUUUCUAAAUCUGAGAAUAUCUUUUUUAUUCCUGAGCAACUUUCUGCUGGACAUAAGAUUCAGCAAAUCCAGCAAUUCCUCUUUUUUUUGGCACUUCAGAACUGCUGUACAGUUUUCUGCCUCCAUUUUUAAUUAAAAAAUACUGUGCUAUUUUGAUUAGCUUUUUCCUCUGUCAUCUCUCCUGCUCUUUCAAAGUU